rnacentral:lncRNA from 1 species
CACAAGAGGUGUGUGUCUUACACUGUGCCAUCACCAAUCCUCAGCCUAUUUUUUUUUUGUGCAGCACAGGUCCAUUUUUCCCAUAGUGAGCCAAGGUGUCGCCAGCUGUUACAGCUAGGACCUCGGAGAAAAAGAGCAGGAGCACAUCUCUCAAAGGAAAGGCAAAGGUGACUUGGCACCUCCGUGUGUUGCUGGUUGAAAUGGAGGUGCUGCUAAUUCUCUCAAUUUCUUCCAGAAAUGGGAAAAUUUAUCUAUAUUAGGAAAUGCGUUCUUCCUUUCUUCAUGCUUGUGAAAAUGAAGGAUAGUUGUGCCUGCACUACAAGAAGGGUGAUUUAGGUAAAUGUCUCUGAG